UUUAUUUAUUUAUUUAUUUAUUACAUGUAAGUACACUGUAGCUGUCUUCAGACCCUCCAGAAGAGGGAGUCAGAUCUCAUUACGGAUGGUUGUGAGCCACCAUGUGGUUGCUGGGAUUUGAACUUCAGACCUUCGGAAGAGCAGUCGGGUGCUCUUACCCACUGAGCCAUCUCACCAGCCCCAAAGAUUUAUUUAUUUAUUUAUUAUAUGUAAGUACACUGUAGCUGUCCUCAGACACUCCAGUCUGAUCUCGUCACGGAUGGUUGUGAGCCACCACGUGGUUGCUGGGAUUUGAACUCCUGACCUUCGGAAGAGUCACUGUGGUUUCUAUAGGCCUGUUAAGCCAUACAUUGCUUGUAUGUAGCACGUGAUUUUGGGGGUCUCCCCCCCUCCCAGCUCUACCAGAAUAGUGAGACUAUAAUAUAUUAGAAUAAGUUGAAGUUUAUAUUAGUAGAUUUUGACAAAUACUGGGAAAAUUUUAACAACUGGCUAAAUUACUGAAUUAGGAUCUCAUUAGCCCCAGCUAAUCCAAAAUGGGCCAUGUUGUAAUGAAAAUGGUAAUAGGUUAUUUUAAAACUUAUUAUAGCGCUUAAUAUUUGUUGAAUCUUUUGUAUUGUGAUCUCUGUUUUGACUAAUUUGGCUCGACAUCCACAGUCGUCAGUUUGGGCUUUCCAAGUGUAUAAGUGAUCUCUGCAUGCUCUGGAGCAGCUUGGUUCCGUUACAUCUGUGUGAUUAAGCAAGUGGAAAAUUUGUCAUGUCACUGGGAUAUUUUCGCUUUUAUAGAAGUUAGCCGGCUGGCCCUUCUCCUUUGCUUCCUCUAUUAGAAAUGCUAUGAACAUCAGAGAGGAGAGGGUGACCUUAAUAUUUGCUUCUCCGACUAAAUCACAGCCUUGAAGCAGCUAUUUCUUUUCAAAUAAGAAGUUUAAUUUCACGCCCUGAUUAGUGCUAGUGCGUGCAGGUGGAUAUUUCUUUUAUGCAGCUAAACUGAUCUGCCCUUGCAAAUUACUUGCCAGUCAGCAGAACUGUAGUUUCUUAUGUGUAGUUGUUGUUGAGUUAUAGUUCUCAUUAGUAAGUUUUGUAUCUUUUCAAAAAAUAUUACCGAUUUAUGAGGUAGGGGUGUAUUUCAGUCACUAAAUUUUGGCCACACUAUAAUUUAUAUUUUCCCUCAAAGCUCAAGGAUUGAUGAGCUUAAAUUAACAGGCUAAAUUAAUUAGCAGUGGAGUCAGAUCUUGUCUCCAGUUGAUUAAAAAAACAGUGUACUCAGGAUCUAGUAAAAGUGAUUCCUUGAGGGGAAGUCCAAAAAAAGAAAUUGUCUUAGUGAGGAAUAAAAUACUGUGUGGUCAAAAUGUGAGUGUGCAGAGAAGCUUAAAGAACAGGGAGGUAAACUGAGGAAAGGUGGGUAAGAUUUGAAGUGCAAGGACGGUAUUGAACCUUUAUUUAUUUAGACAGUCUUAUGGGCUGGAGAACUCAUUAGGUAGACCAAGCAAGCUUUGAGCCCAGAGAUACAUCUGUGUCUGUUACAAUUAAAGGCAUGGCCAUCAUGUUUAGCUAUUAUUGAAUAUUUUUAAAGAUUUUUAUUUAUUUGUGUGGGUUUGUUUCUCUGUGUGAGUCUAGUACACCAUAGUUGUACAAGUGCCCUUAGAGACCAGAAGAUGUCAGAUUCCUAAGAGCUUGGGUUAUAGUUAGUUGGCUGUGAGCCAUUCAAUUUGGGUGUGAGAAACUUAACUCGGCUCCUUUGCAAGAACAGCAAAUAUUCUUAACUACUGAGCCACCUCUUUUUCUUCCUUGGAAUAAUUGUUGUUGUUGUUGUUGUUUUAUUAUUGUUGUUGUUAUUUUAAUUAUUAUUAUUAUCAUUAUUAUUGUUAUUAUUAUUGAGACAGUCUCACUACAUUGCCCUGUAACUUGCUAAGUAGACUAGGCUGGUCUUGAACUCACACAAACUUCCUAAUUCUACCUCCAGAGUUCUGGGAUUAAAGGCAUGGCUACCUUUCUGGCUGAUAAUUGAAUAUUUAGUUGUUUAACUGCCAUGGAACUGAAAGAAUGCUGAGAUUUGAGCCUAAGGUCUUUACAUGCUAGGCAUGUGCUAGACCGUUGAACUAUAUAUCCUUGCUCCCUUAGCAUUUAAAACAAGACUGACUUUCAUUAGAUUUGAACCAAGGAUAAAUAUAAUUAAUUAGAAGGAAGUAUAGUCUAGUUUUGGUGUGUCCGUUCUUAGACCUUUUUAUCUCAGAUGGAACCAGGUUCUCAUGGAUCAUAAACUUGAGGUAUUUGGAGGAUCAUCUUAAAUUCAAGGUGGCCUGACCUUUUGUGGUCACAGUCUGCUCUGCAGCAAGAUCCUCUCCCGUCUCUUACAUUUUGCACACCGUUUCAGAAGAUUCAGCAAUCUCUGAAUCCUAUCUGUGGGUCCUAGUUAAUGUUCCCGUACUAACCUUAUUUAUUUAUUUAUUUUGAUUGUUGUGUGGUUUUUGUUUUUGAGACAGGGUUUCUCUCAAACUCAGAAAUCUGUAGUAAGAAUUUCAGGUUAUGGUUUCUCUAAACAAAGAAACAUUGUAAGAACAUGUUUUUGUUUUAAUCCCAGAUAAGAGAAUGUGGAGCUGCUUCAGACUGUCUGCAGCAGUUGACUGUGAUUUGUCUCCUGCUCUAGCAGAGGUGUGGUUUUGCCAGCUGCAGAUAGUUUCUGUGAUUGUGGAAUUCUGGGAACUUUUCAGAGGGUAUAUAAAUGCUAGAACCCUGAUAGGUGGGAUAGGAAGUUGGUUGUUUGAGGGGGUUGGUUUUGAUUUGUUAGUAGUCCUGCUCAAAGAAGCAAC
rnacentral:lncRNA from 1 species